GGAAUUUUGGACAAUGGGCGCAAGCCUGAUCCAGCAAUGCUGCGUGCAGGAUGAAGGCCUUCGGGUUGUAAACUGCUUUUGUACGGAACGAAAAGCCCUGGGUUAAUACCCUGGGGUCAUGAUGGUACCGUAAGAAUAAGCACCGUCUAACUACUUGCCAGCAGCCGCGGUAAUACGUAGGGUGCGAGCGUUAAUCGGAAUUACUGGGCGUAAAGCGUGCGCAGGCGGUUUUGUAAGACAGAGGUGAAAUCCCCGGGCUCAACCUGGGAACUGCCUUUGUGACUGCAAGGCUAGAGUACGGCAGAGGGGGAUGGAAUUCCGCGUGUAGCAGUGAAAUGCGUAGAUAUGCGGAGGAACACCGAUGGCGAAGGCAAUCCCCUGGGCCUGUACUGACGCUCAUGCACGAAAGCGUGGGGAGCA
rnacentral:rRNA from 1 species